rnacentral:rRNA from 1 species
ACGAACGCUGGCGGCGUGCCUAAUACAUGCAAGUCGAACGGCUUUUCUAUGGAAGCUUGCUUCCACUGAGAAGAUAGUGGCGAACGGGUGAGUAACACGUGGGUAACCUGCCCAUAAGAGGGGGAUAACAUCCGGAAACGGGUGCUAAUACCGCAUAGUUUUCUUGAUUGCAUGAUUGAGAAAGGAAAGACGGCCUUUGUGCUGUCGCUUAUGGAUGGACCCGCGGCGUAUUAGUUAGUUGGUGAGGUAACGGCUCACCAAGACGAUGAUACGUAGCCGACCUGAGAGGGUGAUCGGCCACAUUGGGACUGAGACACGGCCCAAACUCCUACGGGAGGCAGCAGUAGGGAAUCUUCCGCAAUGGACGAAAGUCUGACGGAGCAACGCCGCGUGAGUGAAGAAAGGGUUUUCGGAUCGUAAAACUCUGUUGUCAGAGAAGAACAAGUUGGAGAGUAACUGCUCCAGCCUUGACGGUAUCUGACCAGAAAGCCACGGCUAACUACGUGCCAGCCGCAGC